rnacentral:pre_miRNA from 1 species
UAAACAUUUAGACCGUCGAUCUAUCGAGCAAUUUCACCCGCUCGAUGAAAGAUCUUUGUCGC